GGCUUAAUUUGACUCAACGCGGGAAACCUCACCCGGUCCGGACACUGGAAGGAUUGACAGAUUGAAAGCUCUUUCUUGAUUCAGUGGGUGGUGGUGCAUGGCCGUUCUUAGUUGGUGGAGCGAUUUGUCUGGUUAAUUCCGAUAACGAACGAGACUCUAGCCUAUUAAAUAGUUCCUGCGCUCUCCGUGGUGCAGGCAACUUCUUAGAGGGACAAGUG
rnacentral:rRNA from 1 species